AAGUCAAUUUAGCGUAUAUACUAAAAUUGGAAUGAUACAAAGAACUUUAGCAUGAGCCCUGCACAAGGAUGACAUGCAAAUUCAUGAAGCAUUCCAAUUUUUU